UACGUAGGGUGCGAGCGUUGUCCGGAAUUAUUGGGCGUAAAGGGCUCGUAGGCGGUUUGUCGCGUCGGGAGUGAAAACACGGGGCUUAACCCCGUGCCUGCUUCCGAUACGGGCAGACUAGAGGUAUGCAGGGGAGAACGGAAUUCCUGGUGUAGCGGUGAAAUGCGCAGAUAUCGGGAGGAACACCGGUGGCGAAGGCGGUUCUCUGGGCAUUACCUGACGCUGAGGAGCGAAAGUGUGGGGAGCAAACAGG
rnacentral:rRNA from 1 species